GGGCAGCGCCUCGGGCACACGGGCACACAAAGGCGCCCUACAGAGAGCCGGGGUUUGGGUAGCCAGGGGCGUGAGAGACGGUCACCGAAACCGCCCACGGUCCCCGCGACUCUCAGUCUGGGCCACCACAUCGUGGGACCCGCCCACCCCACCCGCGGGAGGCCGCGAGGCUCAGGGUGGCCACCCAGGCCAUGGUGCAGCCCGCGCGCCCGUGGCCGGUGGUGCACACCUGGGACAGCCGCGUUGGCCACCCCGGUGAGACCAGGCCAAUGGCGGGCCCGGCGCCCCCGUCUCCAGCCUGGUGACCAGGUGCCUGCUGGCACGGGCCUGGGGGACCGCGGGGAGCCCCGGCAGGCUGCUUGGCCCGCUGGGGUCACACGGGGAGCUGAGCUUGCGGGGCUGGGGGCGCACCAGGGCGCGGCGCCCGGUGGGGAGUGGGACCUCGCCCCCUUCCGCAGACUCCAGCUGGUGGCCCUGCGACCUUGGAGCUCGCGGCCCCCGGUGCCCAACGCUACACUGAACAAUCCCCGCAGCUCACACACAGAACCCAGGGAGCGACCAAGGCGGGCGGGCACCGCAAGGUGCGGGCACGACCCUGCCAAGGCUGACAGGGCUCCUUCCCAGCGCCGUGCGAUGGGGACAAGGGCAGGACGCCCGCCCCACCCACCCCAGCCCCGCGCGCCUGUCUGGAGGGGACCAAGGCAUCUGCAUCCCGGGCCCCGAACCAGUUCCACCCGGACCUCGUUAUCAAUGGUGUCUCGCCCAGCUUGCCUAAGUCGGGGGCGGGGCUACAAGUCCUCCCUUGCCUCAGUUUCCCCGGAACGCCCUCAGACACGGGCACCACACGAUGCCCACACGCGCCACCUCGGUGGACCAGAGUGGUCAGCGUCACCGAGGCCGGCCCGCGUGUGCGGCGGGCGAGCCGGUGCCCCCUCCCACGUGAUCGGGAGGCGGUGGCCGCUGCCCGCACCCCCGGGGGACCCCGGCGGCCCCGAUCUGUACUGA
rnacentral:lncRNA from 1 species